CCUACGGGAGGCUGCAGUGGGGAAUAUUGGACAAUGGGGGGAACCCUGAUCCAGCCAUGCCGCGUGUGUGAAGAAGGCCCUCGGGUUGUAAAGCACUUUCAGUGAGGAAGAACGCCUGGUGGUUAAUACCCAUCAGGAAAGACAUCACUCACAGAAGAAGCACCGGCUAACUCCGUGCCAGCAGCCGCGGUAAUACGGAGGGUGCGAGCGUUAAUCGGAAUUACUGGGCGUAAAGCGCGCGUAGGUGGCUUGAUAAGCCGGUUGUGAAAGCCCCGGGCUCAACCUGGGAACGGCAUCCGGAACUGUCAAGCUAGAGUGCAGGAGAGGAAGGUAGAAUUCCCGGUGUAGCGGUGAAAUGCGUAGAGAUCGGGAGGAAUACCAGUGGCGAAGGCGGCCUUCUGGACUGACACUGACACUGAGGUGCGAAAGCGUGGGUAGCAAACAGGAUUAAAUACCCCUGUAGUC
rnacentral:rRNA from 1 species